rnacentral:pre_miRNA from 1 species
GUAAUACUCCCUCCGUCCCAUAUUAAGUGACUUUCUAUUACAUGUAUCUAGACGCUUUUUAGUCAUAGAUACAUCUAUAUUUGGAUAAAUUUGAGUCACUUGAUAUGGGACCGAAGGAGUAGCAG